UUACGUCAAUAUCACGUUGAAACCACGAUUCCCGUACGACCACCAAAGUUAAGCAAGAUCGAGCAUCGUCAGUACCUAGAUGGGGGAUCGCUUGAGAAUACCAGCUACUGUAAG